rnacentral:rRNA from 1 species
UACGAAGGUGGCAAGCGUUGUUCGGAUUUACUGGGCGUACAGGGAGCGUAGGCGGUUCGGUAAGCCCUUUGUGAAAUCUCCAGGCUUAACCUGGAACAGUCGGAGGGACUGCCGGGCUAGAGGGCGGGAGAGGAGCGCGGAAUUCCCGGUGUAGCGGUGAAAUGCGCAGAUAUCAGGAGGAACACCGGUGGCGAAGGCGGGUAGCUGGGCCGACACUGACGCUGAGGCGCGAAAGCCAGGGGAGCGAACGGG